GCUGAUUUGGACCUUGACAAUGAACGUCCUAAGCAUCUUCGCAACACUAAUUGGUGUGUUUUUAGCAACAUUCGAACUGAUAAUUACCUCGCGUUUAGACUCUUCCCUGUGGCAACAUAAAAGUGGUAGGUUGCUUACAGAAUAUCUGUUACUGUUCACCAUGUUGGAGUUCUCCAUGGCAGUCAUGGUAACUGAGUGGACCUAUAGAGCAAGACAAACAGAAUAAGUUGAUCAUUAUCACCAAUGAUGCCCUUUUCCUGUGUAUUAAGAAGAGUGUCACGGUCUCAGUCAAGGAGGAAGGUCUGAUGAUGGUGAAGAACUUUGUUCAAGAAACAGCUUUUUAUUAAGUCUUCCUUAGCAUUUCCUCACCUCCAUUUCAUUAAUAAAAACUGGUAACAGUGAA
rnacentral:lncRNA from 1 species